UUGCCAACUACUGUGUAGUGUGUACUAACCGCGAUAGACAUGGAAGAGGUGUCAUACAUAGCAAGGUAGGUAUGUCAUAGUAUGUGGACCCUUUCUUGCCAACUACUGUGUAGUGUGUACUAACCGCGAUAGACAUGGAAGAGGUGUCAUACAUAGCAUGGUAACCCUAGAUGUCUGAAGUUGUUGGAGGAGUGGGGGUUUCAGGUGUAUGAAGUUGUUGCGGAGGAGUGUGUUACUGUAUGUUGUGGAGUCUGUAUGUGUCUUGGAUUUACAUCUGUAGGCCUAUAUAAACUUGUACAUAAGGAAUUCAUUCAUUGGUAGGCUAAUAGUAGAAGAGAAAAAUUGUUUUUGUGUAUCAUAAGAUGUGUUAUUUAAAAAAUGUUCCUGAUUAAAAGGUUUACUUU